rnacentral:rRNA from 1 species
GACAGAGGGUGCAAACGUUGUUCGGAAUUACUGGGCGUAAAGCGUGUGUAGGCGGCCAUGUAAGUCGGAUGUGAAAGCCCCGGGCUUAACCCGGGAAGUGCAUUCGAUACUGCGUGGCUUGAGUAUCGGAGAGGUUGGUGGAAUUCUCGGUGUAGAGGUGAAAUUCGUAGAUAUCGAGAGGAACACCGGUGGCGAAGGCGGCCAACUGGACGAAUACUGACGCUGAGACACGAAAGCGUGGGGAGCAAACAGGAUUAGAUACCCUGGUAGUCCACGCCGUAAACGAUGGGUGCUAGGUGUCACGGGCUUUGACUCCUGUGGUGCCGUAGCCAACGCAUUAAGCACCCCGCCUGGGAAGUACGGCCGCAAGGCUAAA